GUGGAUUUAUAGCCCACUCCCAUGGAUGCCUUAGAACACUCAGUAUUGUUGGAUAUGCAGCCCACUGCAUGGAUGCCUCAGAACACUCAGUAUUGGUGGAUUUACAGCCAACUCCCAUGGAUGCCUGAGAACACUCAGUAUUGGUGGAUUUAUAGCCCACUCCCAUGGAUGCCUUAAAACAGUAUUGAUGGAUACGCAGCCCACUCCAAUGGAUAUCUUAGAACACUCAGUAUUGGUGGAUUUAUAGCCCACUCCCAUGGACGCCUUAGAAUACUCAGUAUUGUUGGAUACGCAGCCCACUCCAUGGAUGCCUUAGAACACUCAGUGGAUAUGUGACACACUUACAUGGAUGCUUCUUUUGGGGAAUAUUGUAUAGGUUAAAACUUUGGGCAAAUUUUCUCUUCCACAGUGUUUUCGAAUGAUGGAAACAGAAUGAGAUGAAGACUGUCCAUUGAUAUAAAUAGUAACUCAUUAUUUUUCCUCUUUGGGAGUUACUCCUCUGUCCUCAAAGCUAAUUCAAUGUGUGGGCCUUCUUUCUGAUGAGCACCAGGGAAUUGAGACAUUCUUCUUGGCCUUAACUAUCAGCUCAGCAGUGGUGAGCAGCAUGUGUCAUCGGUCGAGGAGCCAGUAUCCAGGGAAACCAGUCUUCAGAUGCAGUGUGUGCCCUUCACGAGGGACUCAGAAGGUGAAGCACCUGAACAUAGACUUUUCCAUGCUUUUCCACAAAAUUUAAGAGUUUCUUUUUUGUUUGUUUUAAAUUCGAGUGGCACAAAACAAGGCUCCUUAACUUUUCUGAAUGAGUGAAGAGUGUAAGAAGGUGUCAAAUAUCCACAAGCCCCGAGCACAUUUACUUAUCACACAGAACUGUUUCUUCUUUUGUGUAUUUCCUUGGCACUACUUUUAUUUUUUAACUAAACUUUUUAGUUUUUCUUUGCCACAUAGUUUUGUGAAUGAUAAUGUGAGAAACUAUAAAUUUAGUCAAAGUAUCCUGCCUGCACCUCUUUAAUAAUCACCAACUUCUUACCAUUGACUCACUUAUAACCGUUUCCAGAUUUAUGGAGGUAAAAUUACAAAUAAGUUACAUACCUUUAAGGUGUAAAACUUGACGUUUUGAUAUAUGUAUACACUGUGAAAAGAUCACCACAAUCAAACUAAUUAACAUGUCCAUCAUCUCACACGGUUACUAGAUUUUUUGUGUGUGCGGUGAGAACUCUUAAGAUCUACUCUCUUAGCAAAUUCCCGGUGUGGAAUAGGCAUUACUAACCAUAGUCACUGGGUGUCCAGAACGUACUCAUCUCGCAUAACUGAAAUGUUGAACUCUUCAACAAACAUCUCCCCAUUUCUUUCAUACCCCAAGUUCAACUGUUUUACAUUUCACUUAUAAAUGAGAUCAUACAGUAUUUGUCUUUCUGUGUCUGGAUUAUUUCACUUAUUUGGCUACAUUUGAUAGCAUAUUUUCUUCUUUUUCCUGCAUUUUUCUUAGUGAGAUUUAUAUUAUUUUAAUAAUUUAAAAAUCUGUCUUUCAUUGUGUUUGAGAAAUCUAACUGAAAGUCUAUUCAGAGGAAAAAGAAAGAAGUUGAGAGAAGGAGUAUUCUAAAAAAAGGAUUUGCACGGCAGGGUCUACCCUCUACAGAAAUGCUGCAUUGAAGUAGUUGAUUGUUUUUCUUUUGUUUUCAAGGAAAGAAAACAACCCUUGGUGUUCUUCACAGCCUUGGCUAUUACACCCAGAAUGGAUGAAGACCUAUCGUACCAAUGUGGCAGUUGAAAAGUGAAUUGCAACACAAUGAGAUAUAUUCACAUUAGGAGAGGAGCAGUACCUGUGCAUUCAGAACUGGAACUGCAGGUGUACCAUUACUGUUGAUAGAGGCAUCUCCUGCCGCGGUCCACCCAGCCUGAGCUGCCAGCCUGCCUAGCUUCUGCAAAGCCCCGAGUUGUCAUGGCAACCACUUCCUGAGACUUGAUACUCAUGCCUGCAGACUCUGGGUCCUGACUUAAAUAGUUUUAUUUUUUUUAAAAAGGCAUAAAUUGAUAGUGCAAUAAAAUCUGGUUUAAAGAUU
rnacentral:lncRNA from 1 species